UGCAACUCUUCAACUGUGCCACUGGGGUGCAAAAGCAGUGAUAGACAGUACAUAAACAAACGGGCAUGACUGUGUUCCAGGAAAAAUUUAUUUACAAAAGAAGUCCUUGAGCCAGAAUUGGCCUGUGGGCUGUAGUUCUCUGAACCCUGCUCUACUGCAUACCUUACCUGCCAACAACACAAUCUUGGCAAAACAGUAAAGAUGGGGCAUGGAUGGGAAUCAAGACCUCAAGGCCCGUUUGAAAACCUCUGAUCGAAUGUUAUACAAUUAUCCCCUGUGAUGGAAUAUGAAUACAUUUGGCUGUUUUUGUUUGUUGUCGGCUUUUUUGCAUGUCUUUUUUUUUUUUCCAGACUUGUUGAAGCCUGUUCUUGUUGAAGAGCAUUAAAACAAGCCAUUCAAUUUUGUGUUUCUUCCUGGAGUCCCAAUGUACUGCUAUAGUGAUGAGUAUCCUUAUUUUACUGAGAUCAUUAAGGGGCUCUGCAAGACAUUGGUGCUUACUCACAAUUUCCUCUGUCUGUAUCACCCCCAACCUUCAGGCAAAGUAGAAAGGAUGGAUGAAAUGUUCAGAAACACUCGAAUUUCCCUGGCCUCAAAUCCUGCCCUGGCCAUACUGACAAGAAGAUCAAUUCCUUCGAGAAUAUGUCAGUUCUCUAUUCAUGAUGGUAACAGGCCUACCCGGGCACUAGGACUUCACCUCUAAUCAUCGACUCUGCCCUAUUAGAAGCAGUAGUAAGCACAUACUGAAGGGAUCCAUCCAAUCUGUCAGUUUUAUGAUUAAUAUCAUCCUUGUACAACCUACAACUUGGUUUUCUAGAAGAGACAUCAUAGAGAGGCAGCCCAUGGACCAUGAUGGAAAAACACUCAUCCGUUAUUGCUGACACCUAGUAAAGCAGUAAAACUUCAGGAGUUUGAUUUUUGGAUCUAUGCUUCUCAAUUAAAGGAACACAAAUCAUCCCUGGCAUCUGGAAAGCCAUCCCAAAGAGAAAUUUCCCAGUUAAGACUCUUAAGAAUCCUCCAGAAACAGAAGAUCUUCAGGAGACUCUAGUCUGAGACCUUCAAAGUAGAAGACAGCAUGGUAUAGACAGUUUAUUCUUCCACGUCUUCGGAGGAAGGCCGUCCAGAUAUCUCUGGAGCCACAGGAGAUGUCAAGGGAUUCUCCACCUCUGUCGAUUGGCACCUACACCUUCAAGACGGUACGACAAGCUCUUUUGAAGCUGAAGGAGAUGGCCAACUUCCCCUCUGAGGUAAACCCAAUGGACUCUGGGACAUGAUUUUUAACUUGAGCUCGGUAACGGAGGAUCCUACCAAGUGUAAACAUCACAUCACCCUGAUUUUGUGUUGGUGUGCAUAAUGGCUGCCAGGUCAGGAAUGUGGGUGCACAGGUAUGGUCACAUCAUGGGACCCAACAACUCAUCACUUGACAGAGGGAACAGGGAGGCCAGGUUAGUCCAGCUCCAGACUGGUGUUUCUGAGAUGAGAAUUCACCUAGAGUUCUGGCAAUUAUGUAGGGGCUGUCUUUGUGGCCUUAAGAGGGGAGGGCCGGGAGGAUGAGAACCUGUGCCCUGCCCCCCUGCCCCGUCAAUUAUGCAGUCCCCAUCACAGCACGCGUCUGUGACUUCCCUAGCAUUUGGUCCUUCACUCAUCACCUUACCUCACUGGAAUCGAUCUUUGCCCUAAGUAACUACCCAGUCCGAGGACUGGCUCCACCUCUGAUGUCUAUGUUUUACUAGAACAUGAAAAGCCAUGGCCUCAUAUCUCCCAAUGAGGCAUCAUGUCAGGACUCUCCGCGUGGUGUCCUCCCCCAUUGCAGCAGGUCAGGAAAAUGCAGUUUGCUCAGGUCAGCAUAAGUGUGUGUGUGAGAGAGAGAGAGAGAAAGAGAGAGAGAUUGUGUGUAAAAAAAGGGGACACAAACAUCCUAUACUUUAAAUAAAGUGAGUCAGAAUUAAGAUCAUUUAAAAAUGGGCUUUCUGAGAGAAACCCAAUUCAUUAUGAACUCUAAGAACUUUCUUUUUAAAAUAAAAGAUUGUUCUGUUUGAAUAUUGAA